UACGUAGGUGGCAAGCGUUGUCCGGAUUUAUUGGGUUUAAAGGGUGCGUAGGUGGUCUUUUAAGUCAGUGCUGAAAUAUCCCGGCUUAACCGGGAGGGUGGCAUUGAUACUGCAAGACUUGAGUAAAGUUGAGGUGGGCGGAAUUGACGGUGUAGCGGUGAAAUGCUUAGAUAUCGUCAAGAACACCUAUUGCGAAGGCAGCUCACUAAGCUUUAACUGACACUGAGGCACGAAAGUGUGGGGAUCAAACAGG
rnacentral:rRNA from 1 species